UACAGAGACGGCAAGCGUUGCUCGGAUUCAUUGGGCGUAAAGGGUUCGCAGGCGGUCGGGCAAGUCGGAUGUGAAAGCCCACGGCUUAACCGUGGAGGGUCAUUCGAAACUGCUCGACUGGAGGACUGGAGAGGAGACUGGAAUGGUCGGUGUAGCGGUGAAAUGCGUAGAGAUCGACCAGAACACCAGUGGCGAAGGCGGGUCUCUGGCCAGUUCCUGACGCUCAGGAACGAAAGCGUGGGGAGCAAACGGG
rnacentral:rRNA from 1 species